UGUAGACUCCCUAGGACAGAACUGCUCUGAUAUCACUUUUGUCACGACCCAAACUGAUGGGUCGUGACGGGCACCCGGUACCUUACUCAAUCGAGUACCAACAUAACGUAUCUUUCGUAUCAUUCUAUCAUAGGUAAAUGAACCGGAGUAAAGCAUGAGGGAAUACAAACUUAUAUAUAUGAUAUACUGGCUUAUAAGACCAGAAUUACACUGAACAUAGGCCGGCAAGGCCGUACAAUCUCUCACGUACACAACAUAUGUCUACAAGCCUCUAAGAGUACAUAAAUAUCAUAAAGGUCGGGACAGGGUCCCGCCAUACUAAUCAAUACAUGUCCUAAUUAUACUGACCACAUAAGCAACUCCGGAGCAAAUGGAGCGCACCAACACCUUCCGCUGAGCUGAUAACCUACUUGGAGGACUCCCAACCUGUCUGUCGGAACCUGCGGGCAUGAAACGCAGCGUCCCCCGGCAAAGGGACGUUAGUACAAACAAUGUACUGAGUAUGUAAGGAAUGAAAAUCAGUAAACAAUAGACAUGAUAGAAACAUGGAGUAAAAGACUCGACAUGUAUGUCUAAAUAACUCUGUAAAUCAUUAAUAUUUAUAAUGUCAUGCAUAUGCGUAUAAAUGUCAUACCAUUCUUAGGU
rnacentral:lncRNA from 1 species